rnacentral:lncRNA from 1 species
GUGGAAUAGAAACUAAUAUUACUUAAAAUUUACCUACACAAUAAAGAUACAUUAGCAAGUGCUGAAGAUAAUAAAAAUAAUGUCAUAAGGUAAAAGUUGAGUUCUGUCCUAGUAGUAUAUGAAUUAAUCAUUACCUUAACUAACACCCAUAUUUGAAUAUCAACCGCAAGGUUUUAUUAUUAACUCAUCCGAGUAUAUAAAUGAAUCAAAUUUGCAUAUAAACUGAGAUAUAGAAGGCUAUAACAAAGCAAAAACAACAACCCAGGAACUCAAUACAUUUCUUUCAUCCAACGGCAGUAAACAAAACAUGUCCAUACAUAGAAAUACAAUGCAACAAAAUCCAAGCAUGUUGGACAUAAUGUAAUGAAUCAUCAAAAUCUUCUCCAAGAGUAGGGCAGAACCAAUAUGCUAACCAUAGCCAAAACCCGGUAUUGUUUGACAGAAAAAUGUCCACAAUAUAACUAUAAUGCAAAGUUAAGUUGCCUACAUGACCAUACAAGGAUUCCGAAUGCAUUAAUGCGAUGCAACUUUUAAAUCAGGGGUACAAUAGAAACUAGAGAGACUCAAACUAGGAAAGUUUUACACUAUAAUAACAUCCUACCACAGCUUGAUAAGAGUAUCUCAUCCAAUGCAAUUUCUUUUGGAGAUUCCAAAAGAAACCAUCAUUGAAGCUUAACCCAACACAGCAGCUAUAAAUAAUUAUUACCAUAUUAUAUUAUAAUUAGUCUUUACUUUUAUAAGUGAAGUGAGAAUAUUGAAGGGCCAAAUGAGACUAAGCACAAGGUUUGCCAAAGAUCAUAGCAAAAAAAUAACAACCAGGAAAACUCAAAGCAAUAGGAACACAUUCCAUAGUUAUUAGUAGUAAGUGAGCAAUCCCUAUAGAUAUAUAUGCUAUGUUUGGAUAAAAGGCUUAAUUAAGGGCUUAUAGCAUAACACAUAUCAUAUAAGUGUUUAUGGAUAAGUUGUUUAUGUAAGAAAAGCUCAAAUAAGUCAAUAAAAAUAUGCUCAUAGUACCACUCAAACUAUGCAUUUAAACAUGUAAGAGCAAGGGAGGAAUUACAUAAACUUGGAUGCAAAAUGAAUCAACACGCAAAGUAACAAUCAGAGCAAAAAGAGAAAUUGAAAGAAGAAAAUUGUAAAUAAAAACGAGAGUUUGAGAAUAAUUAUUACCAAACAAUGGCGACUCGCAGAUCGGAAGAAUUAGUAUGUUCUCGUCGAACUUCCUACAUAUGUUUGUGUAUAGGAAACCUGCUUCCUUUUCUUUUGUCAAUCUAUUUUUUAUUUAUUUAAAGUCUAAGAAUUUAUUGUUUUCAAUUAAUUUUUUUGUACUUUAAUUAAAAAAAUUACUUUUAACUUUUCUAACUAGAAUCGGAUACACUAGUUAGCAUAACUAUUGAAUUAAUCCUCACUCGCUCUUUAAAAUUUUAAAAAAUAUCAUUGAAAUUUUAGAAUAUAUAUUCUAAAAUAUGUUUUUUUUCCUAUAUACACCGAGUAAAUUAGUACUUGAAUUUAAAAAUUGAAUCACCCUAUUCGUGUUUCGGACCUCUCCUUAUGGCAAAAUAAGCAAGGUAUAAAAUGAAAAUUUUAAUUUUCAAAUAAGGGUUGUUUGCAUUAUAAAAUCUGAAUUGUUUGUUUUAUUGUAUUAUAAAAUCCAAAACCUUAUACACCUUUUUGUUAAGAAAACAAAUCCUGGAAAAAACAUAUUCAUAUUACAUAAUUUAAAUUGUAUUAACACAAAAACUAAAUGAGUUUGUAACAUGAAUAUCUUGUGUAAGAAUCAUAAUAAUCAUUCUAAUCCAAUGCUCAAUUUGUGCUUCUUGUGUUUUAGAUCUUGGAAGUGCAUAUUUCUAGUUAUAAAAAAAGAAGGUUUUAGGUUCUAAAGCUUUCUACACCUACACAUUUUAGGUGAAAUUUCAACACGCUCCGAAAUAUGAUCAACUUCAAUAUUUUCAAACACUUAAAUAAAAUAUUUUUCCAACAAGUCAUUCGCCUCAAAAUCCUUCAUAACCAUCAAACACAAGUGACGUAAAAAACUGAAGGUAGAAAAAGGGCUUGAGAUUAACAAAUUUGAACUUCAUCCAAUUUAUUUUAAUCACCCAAAGGUCAAGACCAAUAACAAACUUACUUUAACCCAAAAAGGCACAUGAUUAAACCAUGAGAAUAAAUAUAACUAAAGUGUAAUCAGCCUUUUGAAAUCAUCAAUUAACAUCAACCUUAAAAGAAGAGAUAAAUAAAAAAGGCAAGCUUUCAUAUUAAAGAGCAAGGAAUGGGGCGAGUUGGAACUAACAUUUGGUGUUCAAAAUCCACAUAAGAACAAUCAAAACAAUAAUUAAAGCCAUCAGAACUAGGACAAAACCAAAGAAUGAGAGAUGAAAAGGAGAAAAAACAACAUUAAAAAAUUUAAAAAUAUAUUUGAGAAAAACUAAUUUCAUUUUUAAAAAAGAAAAUUCAAAUGAUGAAUACAAUUUAAAUGUAUAAACAUAAAACACACAAGCAUAAAGAUUAAAAUUUUAAAGGCAGAAGCAUAUGGAUGGAAGACCAAGUAGCUCGAAAUGAAAUUUUUUGACCAGAAACAUGAAAAAAGAAAAAGAAAAAAAUAUCAAAGAAAGCAUGGUUGUCUCUUAGACAAUAAAUAGGAACCAUACAACCCCUUCUCUCCAAUAGCUUUAAGCUAAUUGGUUAACAAUUCUACAAAAAAUAACAAUAGGAUAAAAUGAAACAUAGAAAACAAGCGAUUAAGAAACAUUGUAGUUUCAGACUAUCAUACAUCUCAAUCGAAGAAAAUUUAGCUUUCGAAUCCAAUCAAAGCAAAAUAAGAAAUCCUUUUGGAAUGAAAGAUUAAAAAAAAUUAGUACUUUGUGAAGAAGGAAUCCUCAAAAAUAAGAAAAGCUGGGACUUUCUCACUACUGGUGUUUAUGGUUCAAAAAUCAACUUUCUCACUAAUUUAUAAUUCAGUUCCGCUCCUAAAACCUGAUUAAUUUUAUAAGCAGUUUCACAAUUUCAAUACAGAAUAAUUCUCUCUAAUAAUUUGAAUUGAAAUUAAGCGAUUGUUAAAUGGCUUUACCCGCUAGGUUGGGCAUAAAAAUCAACUCUUUAAAGUAAUUUAACAGAGACAACGCUUAAAUAGAACAAUUAAUAAAAGAACACUCACCCUUGAAGAAAAAGAGAAUCACCAUAGCAGAAGGGAAGUAAUUCCUUAAAAAUAUGGUUCUUUUCUUUUAUUUAGAAUUUCCAGUUUAGAUCUCCACUUGCCUUUGAUUAGAACUCCAGAUCUGCAAAAAAAAAAAAAAAAAAAAAAUCACAAAACCAUAAAAAUCAACACUUUUAUACAUAGGAAGAUAGGAAGAUUAUUGUAUUGCAUAUCACUUCCUAGGAGGAUUCAAAUUGUUUCGAUCUUCAACCUUUUGGAAACGUGAGACGUAUUAGGUUGAAGCAUUCAUCUGUUUUCAGAUGUUAAAAACAAAUCACAAGGAUUCAAACUGUUUUUGCAUCUUUA